rnacentral:rRNA from 1 species
UAGGGAAUUGUUCGCAAUGGGCGCAAGCCUGACGACGCAACGCCGCGUGGAGGAUGAAGGUCUUCGGAUUGUAAACUCCUGUCGUGUGGGACGAACACUUGCUGGGCUAAUAUCCCGGCGAGCUGACGGUACCCCGAAAGGAAGCCCCGGCUAACUCUGUGCCAGCAGCCGCGGUAAUACAGAGGGGGCGAGCGUUGUUCGGAAUUACUGGGCGUAAAGGGCGCGUAGGUGGCCCGGUCAGUCCGUGGUGAAAGCGCGGGGCUCAACCCUGCGUCGGCCAUGGAUACUGCCGCGGCUCGAGCACUGUAGAGGCAGGCGGAAUUCCGGGUGUAGCGGUGGAAUGCGUAGAGAUCCGGAAGAACACCGGUGGCGAAGGCGGCCUGCUGGGCAGUAUGGCUGACACUGAGGCGCGACAGCGUGGGGAGCAAA